AUUUAAAUAGCUUAAUUGAGAGCGUGACACUGAAGAUGUUAAGGUAGUAAAUUUUACUUUUAAAUA
rnacentral:tRNA from 1 species